AUUGAACGCUGGCGGCAUGCCUUACACAUGCAAGUCGAACGGCAGCACGGGGCAACCUGGUGGCGAGUGGCGAACGGGUGAGUAAUGCAUCGGAACGUACCUUUCAGUGGGGGAUAACGUAGCGAAAGUUACGCUAAUACCGCAUAUUCUGUGAGCAGGAAAGCAGGGGAUCGCAAGACCUUGCGCUGAUUGAGCGGCCGAUGUCAGAUUAGCUAGUUGGUGAGGUAAAGGCCCACCAAGGCGACGAUCUGUAGCGGGUCUGAGAGGAAGGUCCGACACACUGGAACUGAGACACGGUGCAGAAUCCUACGGGAGGCAGCAGUGGGGAAUUUUGGACAAUGGGGGCAACCCUGAUACAGCCAUGCCGCGUGAGUGAAGAAGGCCUUCGGGUUGUAAAGCUCUUUCGGCCGGGAAGAAAUCGCACGGGCUAAUACCCUGUGUGGAUGACAGUACCGGAAUAAGAAGCACCGGCUAACUACGUGCCAGCCGCCGCGGUAA
rnacentral:rRNA from 1 species